AGAGUUUGAUCCUGGCUCAGGACGAACGCUGGCGGCGUGCCUAAUACAUGCAAGUAGAACGCUGAAGAGAGGAGCUUGCUCUUCUUGGAUGAGUUGCGAACGGGUGAGUAACGCGUAGGUAACCUGCCUUGUAGCGGGGGAUAACUAUUGGAAACGAUAGCUAAUACCGCAUAACAAUGGAUGACACAUGUCAUUUAUUUGAAAGGGGCAAUUGUUCCACUACAAGAUGGACCUGCGUUGUAUUAGCUAGUAGGUGAGGUAAUGGCUCACCUAGGCGACGAUACAUAGCCGACCUGAGAGGGUGAUCGGCCACACUGGGACUGAGACACGGCCCAGACUCCUACGGGAGGCAGCAGUAGGGAAUCUUCGGCAAUGGGGGCAACCCUGACCGAGCAACGCCGCGUGAGUGAAGAAGGUUUUCGGAUCGUAAAGCUCUGUUGUAAGUCAAGAACGGGUGUGAGAGUGGAAAGUUCACACUGUGACGGUAGCUUACCAGAAAGGGACGGCUAACUACGUGCCAGCAGCCGCGGUAAUACGUAGGUCCCGAGCGUUGUCCGGAUUUAUUGGGCGUAAAGCGAGCGCAGGCGGUUUGAUAAGUCUGAAGUUAAAGGCUGUGGCUCAACCAUAGUUCGCUUUGGAAACUGUCAAACUUGAGUGCAGAAGGGGAGAGUGGAAUUCCAUGUGUAGCGGUGAAAUGCGUAGAUAUAUGGAGGAACACCGGUGGCGAAAGCGGCUCUCUGGUCUGUAACUGACGCUGAGGCUCGAAAGCGUGGGGAGCGAACAGGAUUAGAUACCCUGGUAGUCCACGCCGUAAACGAUGAGUGCUAGGUGUUGGAUCCUUUCCGGGAUUCAGUGCCGCAGCUAACGCAUUAAGCACUCCGCCUGGGGAGUACGACCGCAAGGUUGAAACUCAAAGGAAUUGACGGGGGCCCGCACAA
rnacentral:rRNA from 1 species